UAUUAUACGACUAUAUAUAUAUAUAUAUAUAUAUAGUCUAAAAGGGUAAAGACCCUCUUUGGUGAUGAAUGACCAUGGGAUUGCACCUAGAAAGUUACCCUCCGAGGCACAAGUUCGGGUAAGGUUGUUUAUGGAAGACCAGCAGUCGCCCAUGCAUACCAGCAUCUCCUCUCCACGGAACCGAUGUUAUC